CAAAUCUGUCACCCUGGAGCCGACGGGAGCAGAGAACGCCCUUCUGAUGUCUGCUUCCCGGUUACAUUGUGUGCAGAAAGUGCUCAAAGAUGUUAGACAUUGGAGUGAAGAGGAGAUUCACUAGUGAUUGUGACAUCGGAGUGAAGAGGAGACUCACUAGUGAUUAUUGCCUACUGACACUAUGUUUGUUCAAUCAUCCGCUACUUAGGACACCCUUUUGCUUGAUGCUCCCAGG